AGUGGCGCCUGUUUUGCUUAGUUGCUGAGCUGACUUGAUUUGUCCCCUGUUCUGUGCUCUGUCCUGCCGCUGGAUGCUGUUUAGGGUGUUCAGGCAAGCUCCGAAGUUGCGACAUGAUCCUGGACAGAUGUUAUAAAGACACUAAGAGAACACAAAUGCCAGUCCAUGCUACUAUACCCAGCCAAACUCUCAAUUACCAUAGAUGGAGAAACCAAAGUAUUCCACAACAAAACCAAAUUCACACAUUAUCUUUCCACGAAUCCAGCCCUUCAAAGGAUAAUAACAGAAAAAAACCAAUGCAAGGACAGAAACCAUGCCGUAGAAAAAGCAAGAAGGUAAUCCCUCAACAAACCUAAAAGAAGACAGCCACAAGAACAGAAUGCCAACUUAACAACAAAAGUUAACAGGAAGCAACAAUUACUUUUCCUUAAUAUCUCUUAAUAUCAAUGGACUGAAGUCCCCAAUAAAAAGACAUAGACUAGCAAACUGGCUACACAAACAAGACCCAACAUUUUGCUGCUUACAGGAAACUCAUCUCAGAGAAAAAUAGACACUACCUCAGAAUGAAAGGGUGGAAAACAAUAUUCCAAGCAAAUGGUAUGAAGAAACAAGCUGGAGUAGCCAUUCUAAUAUCUAAUAAAAUCGACUUCCAACCCAAAGUCAUC
rnacentral:lncRNA from 1 species